rnacentral:rRNA from 1 species
AUUGAACGCUGGCGGCAUGCCUUACACAUGCAAGUCGAACGGCAGCACGGGGGCAACCCUGGUGGCGAGUGGCGAACGGGUGAGUAAUACAUCGGAACGUGCCCGGUAGUGGGGGAUAGCUCGGCGAAGGCCGGAUUAAUACCGCAUACGACCUGCGGGUGAAAGCGGGGGAUCGCAAGACCUCGCGCUAUCGGAGCGGCCGAUGUCAGAUUAGGUUGUUGGUGGGGUAAAGGCCUACCAAGCCGACGAUCUGUAGCUGGUCUGAGAGGACGACCAGCCACACUGGGACUGAGACACGGCCCAGACUCCUACGGGAGGCAGCAGUGGGGAAUUUUGGACAAUGGGCGCAAGCCUGAUCCAGCCAUGCCGCGUGCGGGAAGAAGGCCU